CCUGAGAAACCCAAAAGAUCGAAUGGGGAGAUUCAUCGUCAGCGAUCCCGGUUCGUGUGCGGUUCGUGAUGCCGGGGACCUCGGUCUCAUGGCACACGUCCGCAUGGUUUUAUUGCCGGGUGUCGUCGGCGUGCACUUCUCCCCUAGUAGGACGUCGCGACCCGUUGGGUGUCGGUCUACGGCCCGGGUGGUCGCCUGUCAUGUGUCACGCUUCACGGCGCCAUGUGGCAGACCCCCGGUCGUCUGACCAGCUGCUCGGCGGUACUCGCACGGUAUCGAGUCGCAAAUAUUCGAACUGCGUCCGGCCCGCCGCAAGCGAGGCCANUGUUUUCCCGGAUGUACGGACCUANCGCCGUCACCGGGCCUGGNCAGNUGUUGGUUG
rnacentral:rRNA from 1 species